GACGUAGGGGGCCAGCGUUGCUCGGAAUUACUGGGCGUAAAGGGUUCGUAGGCGGUGCGGCAAGUCGGGAGUGAAAUCUCACGGCUUAACUGUGAGGCUGCUUCCGAAACUGCCGUGCUGGAGUGCGGGAGAGGCGAGUGGAAUUGCAGGUGUAGCGGUGAAAUGCGUAGAUAUCUGCAGGAACACCCGUGGCGAAGGCGGCUCGCUGGACCGCAACUGACGCUGAGGAACGAAAGCUAGGGGAGCAAACAGG
rnacentral:rRNA from 1 species